GUCCCCGUAGCUCAGCAGGAUAGAGCGUAUGAUUCCUAAUCAUAAGGUCACAGGUUCAAAUCCCGUCGAGGACACCA
rnacentral:tRNA from 1 species